UACGUAGGGUGCAAGCGUUGUCCGGAAUUAUUGGGCGUAGAGAGCUCGUAGGCGGUCUGUCGCGUCGGCUGUGAAAACUCGGGGCUCAACUCCGAGCUUGCAGUCGAUACGGGCAGGCUAGAGUUCGGCAGGGGAGACUGGAAUUCCUGGUGUAGCGGUGAAAUGCGCAGAUAUCAGGAGGAACACCGGUGGCGAAGGCGGGUCUCUGGGCCGAUACUGACGCUGAGGAGCGAAAGCGUGGGGAGCGAACAGG
rnacentral:rRNA from 1 species